GCCCCCGUAGCUCAGUUGGAUAGAGCAUCUGCCUUCUAAGCAGAGGGUCCCGCGUUCGACUCGCGGCGGGGGUACCA
rnacentral:tRNA from 1 species